rnacentral:misc_RNA from 1 species
UGGUUCUGGCAUCGAUGAAGAACGCAGCGAAAUGCGAUAAGUAAUGCGAAUUGCAGAAUCCGUGAGUCAUCGAAUCUUUGAACGCAUAUUGCGCCCCUUGGUAUUCCGAAGGGCAUGCCUGUUCGAGCGUCAUUAUCACCUCUCAAGCCUGGCUUGCAGUUGGACCCGUGGGUCGACACCCGUUGCGGGUGGACCGACGGUCCCAAAGAUAACGACGGCGUCUGUGAGGACCCCAGUACAACGAGCCCUUGUCACGCACAGGCACGUACCAGGUGGAAGUCCAGACCCGGUCACCGGUGGGCGGGUGUUGUCGACGCCCCUCCACCCCCUCUCAAGGUUGACCUCGGAUCAGGUAGGGAUACCCGCUGA